rnacentral:rRNA from 1 species
UACGUAGGGUGCAAGCGUUUAAUCGGAAUUACUGGGCGUAAAGCGUGCGCAGGCGGUUAUGUAAGACAGGCGUGAAAUCCCCGGGCUUAACCUGGGAAUUGCGCUUGUGACUGCAUAGCUAGAGUAUGUCAGAGGGGGGUAGAAUUCCACGUGUAGCAGUGAAAUGCGUAGAGAUGUGGAGGAAUACCAAUGGCGAAGGCAGCCCCCUGGGAUAAUACUGACGCUCAUGCACGAAAGCGUGGGGGAGCAAACAGG